rnacentral:misc_RNA from 2 species
UUUUUUUUUUUUUUUUUUUUUUUUUUUUUUUUUUUUUUUUUUUUUUUUUUUUUUUUUUUUUUUUUUUUUUUUUUUUUU